CCGCCUUGGCGGCCGCAGGGAUUCAAUUAGAGUUUGAUCCUGGCUCACCGUUUAACGCUGGCGGUCUGCUUUCCUAUGCUAUUCGAACGCAUUGUUUCGGCACUUAUUGGCGGACGGGUGAGUAACGCGUGAUAAUCUGGCGUCAGGACAGGGAUUACAGUUGGUAACGACUGCUAAUACCGCGUAUGCCUAAGGGUGAAAGGAUUAAUUGCCUGAGGAUG
rnacentral:rRNA from 1 species